rnacentral:rRNA from 1 species
GGCGAACGGGUGAGUAAUACAUCGGAACGUGUCCUGUAGUGGGGGAUAGCCCGGCGAAAGCCGGAUUAAUACCGCAUACGACCUGAGGGAGAAAGCGGGGGAUCUUCGGACCUCGCGCUGCAGGGGCGGCCGAUGGCAGAUUAGCUAGUUGGUGGGGUAAAGGCCUACCAAGGCGACGAUCUGUAGCUGGUCUGAGAGGACGACCAGCCACACUGGGACUGAGACACGGCCCAGACUCCUACGGGAGGCAGCAGUGGGGAAUUUUGGACAAUGGGGGCAACCCUGAUCCAGCAAUGCCGCGUGUGUGAAGAAGGCCUUCGGGUUGUAAAGCACUUUUGUCCGGAAAGAAAACGUUUUGGUUAAUACCUGAGGCGGAUGACGGUACCGGAAGAAUAAGCACCGGCUAACUACGUGCCAGCAGCCGCGGUAAUACGUAGGGUGCGAGCGUUAAUCGGAAUUACUGGGCGUAAAGCGUGCGCAGGCGGUCUGUUAAGACCGAUGUGAAAUCCCCGGGCUUAACCUGGGAACUGCAUUGGUGACUGGCAGGCUUUGAGUGUGGCAGAGGGGGGUAGAAUUCCACGUGUAGCAGUGAAAUGCGUAGAGAUGUGGAGGAAUACCGAUGGCGAAGGCAGCCCCCUGGGC